UGCAGGAAAUGGAGAUGUUGUAAAUGAAAAAUGGGAAUAUCUCUGAACCUUGUGAUAUAUGCAUUCUACUGGA
rnacentral:snoRNA from 1 species